rnacentral:rRNA from 1 species
AGCAGUCGCCGCGGGAAUACGUAGGUGGCAAGCGUUGUUCGGAAUUGUUGGGCGUAAAGGGCUCGCAGGCGGUUUCUUAAGUCUGAUGUGAAAGCCCCCGGCUCAACCGGGGAGGGUCAUUGGAAACUGGGAAACUUGAGUGCAGAAGAGGAGAGUGGAAUUCCACGUGUAGCGGUGAAAUGCGUAGAGAUGUGGAGGAACACCAGUGGCGAAGGCGACUCUCUGGUCUGUAACUGACGCUGAGGAGCGAAAGCGUGGGGAGCGAACAGGAUUAGAUACCCCUGUAGUCCCUGUCUCUUAUAU